rnacentral:rRNA from 1 species
AAGCGGCACGCGAGCUGGGUUCAGACCGUCGUGAGACAGGUCGGUCUCUAUCCGUCGUGGGCGUCCGGAGAUUUGAGGGGAGCCCUCUCCAGUACGAGAGGACCGAGAGGGACAGACCUAUGGUGUGCCAGUUGUUCCGCCAGGGGCAUUGCUGGGUAGCUAAGUCUGGUCGGGAUAAGCGCUGAAAGCAUCUAAGUGCGAAGCCUACCCCAAGAUUAGAUCUCCCAUCCCGGUGAUUUAUUACCGGGAGUAAGACCGCAAGUAGACUACUUGUUUGAUAGGCGGUGUGUGUAAGGGCAGUAAUGUCUUUAGCUUAACCGUACUAAUGGUCGAGGGCUUGGCCUG